rnacentral:rRNA from 1 species
UGAGGAAGAUAAUGACGGUACUCAACAAGGAAGUGACGGCUAACUACGUGCCAGCAGCCGCGGUAAAACGUAGGUCACAAGCGUUGUCCGGAAUUACUGGGUGUAAAGGGAGCGCAGGCGGGARAACAAGUUGGAAGUGAAAUCCAUGGGCUCAACCCAUGAACUGCUUUCAAAACUGUUUUUCUUGAGUAGUGCAGAGGUAGGCGGAAUUCCCGGUGUAGCGGUGGAAUGCGUAGAUAUCGGGAGGAACACCAGUGGCGAAGGCGGCCUACUGGGCACCAACUGACGCUGAGGCUCGAAAGUGUGGGUAGCAAACAGGAUUAGAUACCCUGGUAGUCCACACCGUAAACGAUGAUUACUAGGUGUUGGAGGAUUGACCCCUUCAGUGCCGCAGUUAACACAAUAAGUAAUCCACCUGGGGAGUACGACCGCAAGGUUGAAACUCAAAGGAAUUGACGGGGGCCCGCACAAGCAGUGGAGUAUGUGGUUUAAUUCGACGCAACGCGAAGAACCUUACCAAGUCUUGACAUCCUUCGACGAUGCURGAAACAKUAGUUCUCUUCGGARCACGGAGACAGGUGGUGCAUGGUUGUCGUCAGCUCGUGUCGUGAGAUGUUGGGUUAGUCCCGCAACGAGCGCAACCCUUAUGGUCAGUUACUACGCAAGAGGACUCUGGCCGGACU